rnacentral:rRNA from 1 species
UCUUGGUCAAUUUAGAGGAAGUAAAAGUCGUAACAAGGUUUCCGUAGGUGAACCUGCGGAAGGAUCAUUAACGUAUCUCACCCUCGGGGCGUCGCCUUGGGGCCCUGCUCCGGCCCUUGGCCGUGCAGCGGGCCCCGGUGACCCCCGAAACCCCCACAAACCCCAGUGCACCUUUUCGCGGCGGAGGGCGUGGCUGCAAAGCCCGUCCGAUGCUGCGGUCUCACAGACACACGUCUCAGAAUGUCAGUGCGGGUGUUGGACCUGCCCAUUAACAUGACAACUUUCAACAACGGAUCUCUUGGCUCUCGCAUCGAUGAAGAACGCAGCGAAAUGCGAUAAGUAAUGUGAAUUGCAGAAUUCAGUGAAUCAUCGAAUCUUUGAACGCACCUUGCGCUCCUUGGUAUUCCGAGGAGCAUGCCUGUUUGAGUGUCUUGAAUUCAUCGGCCCCUCUCUGCUUUUGCGAGCGGGGGGUGGGCCGGAACUUGGGGGCCCCUGUGCUGCCGAAAGGCGGCUCCCCUCAAAUGCUUCGGUUUGGGCCUGCGGGUCAAACUCGACUGGGCGUUGUACUGUCCUCGCUCGACCGAGUCCCCUCUACCGUGCUCGGACCUUGUCCGCCUCUGGAGUGGUGGACGGCACCUCCUCGAAAUCUGACCUCAAAUCAGGUAGGACUACCCGCUGAACUUAAGCAUAUCAAUAAGCGGAGGAAAAGAAACUAACAAGGAUUCCCCUAGUAACUGCGAGUGAAGCGGGAAAAGCUCAAAUUUGAAAUCUGGCGGUUCUGCCGUCCGAGUUGUAUUCUGGAGAAGCGCCUUCCGCACUGGACCGUGUAAAAGUCUUCC